GCCCUUAUAGCUCAGUGGUAGAGCGCAUCACUAGUAUAUUAUCGACCUGUAAUGUAUAUGAUGAGGUCCUCUGUUCGAGUCAGGGUGAGGGCA
rnacentral:tRNA from 1 species